rnacentral:rRNA from 1 species
AGUGAACGCUGGCGGUAGGCCUAACACAUGCAAGUCGAACGGCAGCACAGUAAGAGCUUGCUCUUACGGGUGGCGAGUGGCGGACGGGUGAGGAAUACAUCGGAAUCUACUUUUUCGUGGGGGAUAACGUAGGGAAACUUACGAUAAUACCGCAUACGACCUACGGGAGAAAGCAGAGGAUCUUCGGACCUUGCGCGAUUGAAUGAGCCGAUGUCGGAUUAGCUAGUUGGCGGGGUAAAGGCCCACCAAGGCGACGAUCCGUAGCUGGUCUGAGAGGAUGAUCAGCCACACUGGAACUGAGACACGGUCCAGACUCCUACGGGAGGCAGCAGUGGGGAAUAUUGGACAAUGGGCGCAAGCCUGAUCCAGCCAUACCGCGUGGGUGAAGAAGGCCUUCGGGUUGUAAAGCCCUUUUGUUGGGAAAGAAAAGCAGCAGGUUAAUACCCCGCUGUUCUGACGGUACCCAAAGAAUAAGCACCGGCUAACUUCGUG